UUAUCGAUUUGAGUCUGAUCAAUAUGUGUUAUCCUAUGCAUAGAACAUGGAAUUUUAUUAAUACGGUUAGAUUAUACUAUGACCGGGUGUAUUUUGAACUUCUGUAGUAGGUGCGUUUCCACAGGUCAGAUUUGUGAAGGGAAUCACUGCAUGUUUUUUAAGGAAUGUUGAAAAUUUAUAGAGUAUAUUGAGAGCGUUUGAUACAGAGGUGUGGGUUAUGUCUCAAUGAACCUGCCAAAACGGAUUGUGUGAAUAUAAUGUAACUUAGAGCUCUAUGUCACUUAUAUUGAGAAAUUUGUAACUUUUGAGUCUGUCAACCACAAAAUUUAGCGUUAGACAGGCAGUUGAUUGGCUCAUCUAGCCGUGAAACGCACUCUGAAAUUACCUUGCAAACAUUGAUUUUUUUAUCAUUAAUACUUUUACUAUAAUAGGUUUUUUACUAUGGUAUAAUGUUUAUUGCAAUCUAGCACAAACUUAGGUAAUUAGCGAUAUAUUUUCGACGAAAACUGCUAAAAAUUUAAUUGUAGGAAUUUAAUAAAAAUUAAAUCAUUAAUGUUUUGGUUACCGUACUACUAACGGGAAAGUUUUUGUCAAUCCCGGAACUAAAUCAACUCUGAAGGUUUUUUUCUUUUUGGGGCUUCGUUUGAUCGAUAAAUUCUCCAGCAGCUGGAGAAUUCUCUGCGUUGUUUGGUCGUGAGGUCUAUUUUCAUGAUUUGCAGCCAUCUUCUGAUCUCAUCUGUGACGUAUGGAGCUCAAUGUAUAUCCGAAUUUGUUGCUAUGUGUUCUGCAUUUCUGCAUCUGCAAAGAACUUAUUCUGGACUAGCAGGUAACCCGUGCUUUGCACAGGGAAAAAUUUGGUGUUGUAAGUUGAUGUCCAGGAAACAUAAAAAAAAUUAAUAAUGAUUUAUUAUUUUGUUCAAAAUUACGUGGAUAAUCUUAUAAGAGUUGGAGCGUAGCGCUUACAUUCUCUAGGCAUUUUACAGAUAACCACCCGUAACUCCUACCAUUCUCUCUCGUAACGAAUUCACUUCGUUACAAUAGCCAUUUAACUUGACUUUGUUACAGACAAAGUCGGAGAAAUCAACUUGGAGAAUUAAUCGUUUACUCAAAACAGGUAUGAAACAGUAUACUAGAGGCCAACCGUCCUGAUCCCAGCUAGAAACAAUACUUCACUUGGUACUUGUCAUAUGGCUCCGGCUGACUCUCUGAUGCACUAAUAUUAUUUCUCACUUGCUUCAUUCGGAUACGCUGCAAGAAAAGAAGUGUAGUGGUCAUGAAACAAUGACUCUCCAGGUCAUUACUUAAUUUUAAUUGGUUUAAAUGUCACAUGAAUAGUGUAGUCCAGUCAAGUGUAUCGCUUUCGAAGAAAGAAUUGGAACUGAAGAAAAAUGGAAAAAAGGUUUUCUUUCUAAUUUAAAUUUGUAUAUGCGUAUCACAUUAUCGAUUCAGUGAUUUUCUAAAAAUGACAAUCGAUUUCCAUCCUUAAUAAAAAAACGUUUAUACUGUUCGUAUCCAAAAAGGCUUUUGUAACAAUGUAAGACUGAUAUGUUUCCAGCCAAGCUUAGUGAGUAAGAACACAGGUUUCUCCACAAUAAUUAUUAUUAUUUUCAUGUGAGAUUCUCAAUGGCAACGUGAAGUGGGGGUUUGACUACAGCCCCUCUACAUUGCUUGGGAUGUCCACAUUCCAGCCCCACAUCUGGAAUCUCUAUCUCGUCUCACUCCCUCUGUUCUACUGUUCUCUUUUCUGCUCUUACUCUCGCAUUAUUUCUCCCUCUUAUUUAUUAUUCUCUCUCGCUCAUCCGAGUUUUAUUUGGUUACACAACCCUCAACAUAUAGAGUGCUAUUGCUGGUGUUAUUGCAGGAAACUCUUGUUUCAUGCAACAAUGCAUUCCGCUGUGAUACAAAGUAGCCCUAGUCUUCCCCCCUCCCUAGAAUAGCUCACUCCAGAAAAAUCAAUAUUAGAACCACUUCCCAUGCUCUAUUAAGUUGUAUCAUUAAUGCACCAACAAAUAUUAUCAUUAAGGAACAGGCCUACCUGAUCUCUAAAAAAUAGAGCCAAAACUCAAAUCAUUGUUUGUCAUCCUAAAAACUUUUCAAUUCAUUUUAUCAGCUGCUCCAUUCUUGGCGCUAAAAUGAUGUUAUGAAUUUUGUAGCCAUAAGCUAAAUUUAUAAUGACAAUAAGACAGCAAGAUUAAAAAUAGACAUACCAUGUUUCUCCACUACACUAGGUAACCUUUUGAAAUCGUGUAGCUCAUACAGUUUUGACCUCAAACCGAUAUCUUCUAACUUUCUAGUAGGCAUAUCACCAUAAUUAAACAAAAAUCCUAAAUAUUGCUAUUAUAUAAAUCCUGUUAAGAAAUGCUGAUUUCAAGCCCUAGCCUAUAGGCACACAUGUUUUCCAAAGCAGCUUACUUGGAAUUUCCUAUAGCUACAUCCUCUUUAGCUAAUAUUUUUAAUUAAUUUUAUUGUUAACGUUUACUUGGUGCCCAUCCUUCCAUCGCUUAAUAUACUCAUCCAAUACCUUUUUAUAAAAUAAUAUUCAAACUUUUGCUAUCUAGCUCAGUUGUGUUUUACAAGAUACAAACCAUUGUUGCCAUGUAAGGGUUGUUGCAGGGGUAAGACCUCUGAGCUUCCUUUGUGUAGCGAGCUUUACGAUAAGGGGUAUUCGACAGCAGACAUCAGUUCAGUGAGUCCGCCGCACCCCGCACUAAUUUUCUCUGUUUCUCUCAUUAGAAUAAAUUAUUUGUUUACAUGAAGCAUGGAGGUUCACUACUGUUCCGUUUCUGAUUCAUUAGUGUCGUUUCACUGGUUCAGCUCAAUCACACCUACUACUGCUAAAACUAAAAACCGUUGAUCGUAUCUGUAAUAAUUAUUAUAAGAGUAGACGGUUUUUAUUAGUAGCAUUAUACUGACUAAAAGUAAGCUUAUUACUAGCUAAGCAUAUAUAAUUAUUGUGAGAGUAGGACUGUUUAGAAGCAGAUUUCGAGGCUUUUAUUGAGAAUGACAUAGUUUGGUGAUUGGUAUGACUAUGGCAUCAGCUUGGUACAUACGUGCUUUUGGCGACACACUGGUCGUGGCUGACGGUAGCACGGCUCGCACCAGCGAUCUACUCGCAGGUGGCACGUGUCAACACGUCAUCGGACUCUACUUCACACAGUUGACACGUGCUAACAACAACCUUCCAAAUAAAUUCACCAGUAAACUGUUGCAGUUCUAUGAACAUAUAAAUAGUGGCCGUACCGACGCAAAACGGUUUGAAGUCAUACAAGUGUUCUUAUUUCCCAGUCAGCAGAUCAAUUUGCACGACGAUUCAAUCAAGCAAGCGCUGCUCAACGUUCCCUGGUUUGCUAUGCCAUUACACCAACAAAUAAAGCAGAUUCGUCUAAUGCACAAGUAUGAGGCUAGAGAUUGCAGUCUAGUACUUAUUGAUGGUUCAACUGGCAAGGAGCUGACUCGUUCUGCCAAGGAACGUGUUCUAGAAGAUGCUGAAGGUCUGAGAUUCCCGUGGCCAACUUGUGCUCCUGCACCUGCCGCUCAAAAAAUUUCACACCUGCUGUCUUGCAUCUGCGAUCGGGGUCUCCUUCGUGGAGGAAGCGACUCAACAUCUCUAGAUCAUGAGACCUGUGAAGAUGCUUUACAAGAUUGUGUUAUUGGAGUAUAUUUUUCAGCACACUGGUGUCCACCUUGUAGAGCUUUCACACCACAAUUGAUAGACACUUACAAUGAGCUGAAGGAGAGAGGAAAGAAAUUUCAAGUCUUAUUUGUGAGCUCUGAUAGAAGUGUGGAAUCAUUCAAGUCAUAUUUAUCGAUUAUGCCUUGGCUAGCGUUGCCUUAUGAUGAAUCUGAAUUACGACAAGACCUGGCUAAACUAUUCGAUAUUCACGGUAUCCCGACGUUGGUUAUCCUGAAUACGGAUCAUUCACUGAUUACUAUUGAUGGCAGGGGAGAGAUUAACGAUGAUCCACUAGGAAAGAGGUUUCCAUGGGGAUCACCAAUUAGUCUAUUGACGGAGCGAACGGCCACAAGAUUAUAUAAUACACCAACAGUCGUUCUAUUUCUUGAAGGUGAAAAUGAAGAAGAUUUCAAUUUUGGCAAGUCUGUCCUCACAACAGCUGCUAGCAAUGCUCAAAUGCAGGCGGAUGGGUUUAACCUAUAUUCACCAAUAUUCUUCAUAGCAUUUGAUAGAGCGCCAGAAAAUUCAACCCCUAAAGCCGAGAAGGAAGACUGAAGGAUGCCGGGAGCAAAGGCCUGCUGCGGCUGAACUACGAAUCUAGCCGUCAGAGUUUCCUCUAGUCAGUGCUACGGGCUUCUACAUUCAGUUGGGCGCAAUUCAACACAUUAGUAACACAAGCGAAUGGCUCAGAGACUAUGUGGGUCUCGAUGAUGAUGCUCCACUAUUGACAAUCAUCGACUUACCUCUUGGCAGAAUAAGUGUUAUGGAAUACGGCGUUGAUAUUUCAGAAGAAUCUGUCAAUGAA
rnacentral:misc_RNA from 1 species